AUUUGCCUUUAGGAGGGGGAUAACAACUGGAAACGGUUGCUAAUACCCCAUAUGCUUUCGAGUGAAAUGGUUUUUCCGCCUAAAGAGAAGCUUGCGGCUGAUUAGCUUGUUGGUGAGGUAAUAGCUCACCAAGGCGACGAUCAGUAUCUGGUUUGAGAGGACGAUCAGACACACUGGAACUGAGACACGGUCCAGACUCCUACGGGAGGCAGCAGUAGGGAAUUUUCCGCAAUGGGCGAAAGCCUGACGGAGCAAUACCGCGUGAGGGAUGACGGCCUAUGGGUUGUAAACCUCUUUUUUCAGGGAGGAAUAAAUGACGUGUACCUGAAGAAUAAGCAUCGGCUAACUCCGUGCCAGCAGCCGCGGUAAGACGGAGGAUGCAAGUGUUAUCCGGAAUCACUGGGCGUAAAGCGUCUGUAGGUGGUCCAAUAAGUCAACUGUUAAAUCUUGAGGCUCAACCUCAAAACCGCAGUCGAAACUAUUAGACUAGAGUAUAGUAGGGGUAAAGGGAAUUUCCAGUGGAGCGGUGAAAUGCGUAGAUAUUGGAAGGAACACCGAUGGCGAAGGCACUUUACUGGGCUAUUACUAACACUCAGAGACGAAAGCUAGGGUAGCAAAUGGGAUUAGAUACCCCAGUAGUCCUAGCUGUAAACAAUGGAUACUAGAUGUUGAACAGAUCGACCUGUGCAGUA
rnacentral:rRNA from 1 species